CUCACGUCUUCUCCUCACAGAGAGCUCAGCAGAAGACUCACAGGCAGUGCCUCCUACAAUCACUGCAGCUCUCAACUCCUCCAAACAGUAUCUUCCUCUAACAAACAAGCUGAGGAAGUAGUGGAAUAGUGGAGAAGAUGCGCAGAGCACACAUCAACAGCAGCAUUGAGAAGCUCAAGUCUCUCCAGGGCUGAGGAUUCUGGAGAUGACAGUUAAUUUCAUAACACAUCAGUAGCAGCAGUAGAAGCUGCAGCAACAGUCCCAUGACAUGUCUGCACCACUGCAGCCAUGAAGGCUACAGCAGGUGUGUGCAGGAAGCCAUCAUCUUCCUGUCUCAGUUCAGACUCCCAGAGAAGACUGCUGAGCCACUUCCUCACCAUGCCACAUCAGCAGCAAUGAGGAAACUCCAGCCUGUACUGUGAUCUGGAGACCCUGCUAGAGCCCUGUGGACCCUUUACCAUUACAUACACACUAACAUGUCACUGUGAGACUGACAUCGACUAAGUUUCCUAAGAUUGUAGGAAUGUAAUUCCUCUGAUUUUACGUUCAUUCUAUAUAAACAUGAGGAAAUGUUUCCAGUUUGGGAAUCUUUAUCAUAUUCUUACUGUGUAAUCAGAAUAUCUUUGUUUGAAUGGAUAAACUAAGCUCAUAUUGGGUUUAUAGUCUCUGCAGGUUGUUUGAAAUCUGCUUUUAAUGAAUGAAAUCUUUUGCUCUUCUUUCUCUCCCUGUGUAAGAAUCAUUUGUGUUUAAAGUUUAAAUCUGAAUUCUUCAGUGUAAAAUGUCUGUGACAUUCUUUAAUACAGCACUUUCCUCUCCUAUGGAGUGAGAUCUAUGAAACUGUUUUUAGAUUCUGCUCUUUUCGAUGCUGCUUGUAUGAGAGUAAUAUUCCUUAAGCUACAUUAGCUGAAUGCAUUCUUUUGUGAGUGACUUUAAGGCUCUCCAACCCAGAAUUGUCUUGAGUUUGUCACCUUCAGUGAAGGUUAUGGAUGUUAUAUUACUGUAUUUGUGGACACACAAAAUCAUUACACCCAAAAAGUCCUGAAAAUAAACUGUAAUGAAACAAUCAA